rnacentral:rRNA from 2 species
UUUAAGGUCUAACCUGCCCAAUGAGGAUUUAAAUGGCCGCAGUAUUUUGACUGUGCAAAGGUAGCAUAAUUAUUAGUUUUUUAAUUGAAAGCUUGUAUGAAGGGUUGGACGAGAUAAAAUCUGUCUUUAUUUAAAUUAAAGUAUAAUUUAACUUUUAAGUCAAAAGGCUUAAAUGUUUAUAAAAGACGAGAAGACCCUAUAGAUCUUUAUUUAGUUAAGAUUUUAAUAAUUUAGGAUUAUUUUAAUUUGGAGUUUUAAUUAAAUUUUAUUGGGGUAAUAUAAAGAUUAAAUUAAUUCUUUUUAUUUAUGACAUUAAUUUAUGAAUAUGUGAUCCAUUAAUAUUGAUUAUAAGAUUAAGUUACCUUAGGGAUAACAGCGUAAUUUUUUUGGAGAGCUCAUAUCGAUAAGAAAGUUUGCGACCUCGAUGUUGGAUUAAAAAUUAGCUUGGGUGCAGAAGCUCAAGAUUUUGGUCUGUUCGACCAUUAAAUUUUUACAUGAUCUGAGUUCAGACCGGCGUAAGCCAGGUCGGUUUCUAUCUUUAUUUAGAUAAAAUAUUUUAGUACGAAAGGACCAAGUAUUUAAUAUAAUUAUAUUUAUUUUUU